rnacentral:rRNA from 1 species
GAUGAACGCUGGCGGCGUGCUUAACACAUGCAAGUCGAGCGGGCAAUUUAUCUAGCACUGAUUACUUCAAAUGGCUAUCGCCAGUGUAAUCAUGAAUUUCUACCUUUAAUAAAGAAAAAAGAAAUUCAUGUACGCAAAUAGUGAUAACACAUUUUAGUGGAGUGAUGAGUGCUGGAUAAAUUGCUAGCGGCGGACGGGUGCGUAACACGUGGGUAACCUGCCCCUAUCACUGGGAUAACACACUGAAAAGUGUGCUAAUACCAGAUAACAUAAGCUUUUGGCAUCAUUAGCUUAUCAAAGAAUUUCGGAUAGGGAUGGGCCCGCGUCUGAUUAGCUUGUUGGUGAGGUAACGGCUCACCAAGGCAACGAUCAGUAGCCGACCUGAGAGGGUGAUCGGCCACACUGGAACUGAGACACGGUCCAGACUCCUACGGGAGGCAGCAGUGGGGAAUAUUGCACAAUGGGCGAAAGCCUGAUGCAGCAACGCCGCGUGAGCGAUGAAGGCCUUCGGGUCGUAAAGCUCUGUCCUAUGGGAAGAUAAUGACGGUACCAUAGGAGGAAGCCCCGGCUAACUACGUGCCAGCAGCCGCGGUAAUACGUAGGGGGCAAGCGUUAUCCGGAAUUACUGGGCGUAAAGGGUGCGUAGGCGGUUUAUCAAGUCAGGGGUGAAAGGCUACGGCUCAACCGUAGUGAGCCUCUGAAACUGGUGAACUUGAGUGUAGGAGAGGAAAGUGGAAUUCCCAGUGUAGCGGUGAAAUGCGUAGAUAUUGGGAGGAACACCAGUGGCGAAAGCGACUUUCUGGACUACAACUGACGCUGAGCACGAAAGCGUGGGGAGCAAACAGGAUUAGAUACCCUGUAGUCCACGCUGUAAACGAUGAGUACU